GACGAACGCUGGCGGCGUGCCUAAUACAUGCAAGUCGAGCGGACGAAUCGAAAGCUUGCUUUUGAUUCGUUAGCGGCGGACGGGUGAGUAACACGUGGGCAACCUGCCCUGUAGACGGGGAUAACACCGAGAAAUCGGUGCUAAUACCGGAUAACACGAAAUGUCGCAUGACGUUUCGUUGAAAGACGGCGCAAGCUGCCGCUACAGGGUGGGCCCGCGGCGCAUUAGCUAGUUGGUGAGGUAACGGCUCACUCAGGCGACGAUACGUAGCCGACCUGAGAGGGUGAUCGGCCACACUGGGACUGAGACACGGCCCAGACUCCUACGGGAGGCAGCAGUAGGGAAUCGUCCGCAAUGGACGAAAGUCUGACGGAGCAACGCCGCGUGAGCGAAGAAGGCCUUCGGGUCGUAAAGCUCUGUUGUUAGGGAAGAACAAGUAACGCAGUAACUGGCGUUACCGUGACGGUACCUAACGAGAAAGCCACGGCUAACUACGUG
rnacentral:rRNA from 1 species